rnacentral:rRNA from 1 species
GAUGAACGCUAGCGGCAGGCUUAAUACAUGCAAGUCGAGGGGCAGCAUGAUUGUAGCAAUACAAUUGAUGGCGACCGGCAAACGGGUGCGGAACACGUACACAACCUUCCAACAAGUGGGGGAUAGCCCAGAGAAAUUUGGAUUAAUACCCCGUAACAUAGCGAUGUGGCAUCACAUUGCUAUUAUAGAUUUUUCGCUUGUUGAUGGGUGUGCGGCUGAUUAGAUAGUUGGCGGGGUAACGGCCCACCAAGUCUACGAUCAAUAGCUGAUGUGAGAGCAUGAUCAGCCACACGGGAACUGAGACACGGGCCCGACUCCGACGGGAGGCAGCAGUAAGGAAUAUUGGACAAUGGACGCAAGUCUGAUCCAGCCAUGCCGCGUGAAGGAUUAAGGUCCUCUGGAUUGUAAACUUCUUUUAUAAGGGACGAAAAAAGGCUUUUCUAAGUCGUCUGACGGUACCUUAUGAAUAAGCACCGGCUAACUCCGUGCCAGCCGCCGCUGUAACAC